rnacentral:rRNA from 1 species
GACGAACGCUGGCGGCGUGCUUAACACAUGCAAGUCGAACGCUGAAGCUUGGUCCUUGCCCUGUGUAGAUGAGUGGCGGACGGGUGAGUAAUACGUGAGUAACCUGCCCUUGACUCUGGGAUAAGCCUGGGAAACUGGAUCUAAUACUGGAUACGACAUGCCACUGCAUGGUGGUGUGUGGAAAGGGUUUUCCUGGUUUUGGAUGCGCUCACGGCCUAUGAGCUUGUUGGUGAGGUAAGGGCCUACCACGGCGACGACGGGUAGCCGGCCUGAGAGGGUGACCGGCCACACUGGGACUGAGACACGGCCCAGACGCCUACGUGAGGCAGCAGUGGGGAAUAGUGCACAAUGGGCGGAAGCCGGAUGCAGCGACGCCGCGUGGGGGAGGACGGCCGUCGGGUUGUAAACCUCUUUCAGCACGGAAGAAGCGAGAGUGACGGUACGUGCAGAAGAAGCGCCGGCUAACUACGUG